UUGAACUUUUAACUGGAUAUGUUGUUGCCC
rnacentral:piRNA from 1 species